AAUACUAUUCCGCCUCCCUGCUUUCACCAAUCAGGUCAUUUGCCUGCUUGCUAGAUGAAAUUGGUCAUUUAUUUCUGGUGUGCAGAAGAUCUAACAAAGUUAACACUGCUAAACAAGUUCUCAACAGAGACACGAACUCGAUGUAUGGUCCCCAUCCUGAUGCUGGGGCUUCAUGGUUUCCCUGGGUAGUCAAUUAAGUUUCCAUGUCUGAAUCCUGUUCCGAUCGCACUUUGCCAUCAACGGAUUGAACAAAUGUAUUUUUUCCACUGUGGAAGUUGAAGACGACUCAAACACUAAUGAUAGCCACGAAGAAGGCCCACGCUGAUGAAACGAUUCAAAUGACGGGUGAGGAAGCUGACGUAUGAGUUCCAACUCACCGUUAGAAAAUUAGAUUGAAUAAGGCAUUCCGAAUAUUUAGUUCUCUAUAUUUUAUGUUUGCUUUGUUUGCACACCAUGUUAUCAAAUCUAU